rnacentral:misc_RNA from 1 species
UUCAUAUUAGACUUUCCUCGUGGGCUGAAAGUUGGUUUAUCUACCUUAGACAAAUUUGAAAGUUCCUUCCGAGAAGAUUGCUCAACAUGGGAUCUUGUCUGUGUUGUUGUUUUAGUUACAACUGAAGGUUUUGAGAUUUUGGAUCCAUCACUGCCAUUACAUUCAUGGGAUUUUACACCAUUGGAAGCAAGAGCUGUGCUGGCAGUUACUGGCCUUUGGUUUGUACGAG